UUAACCCCUUCCCCUACUA
rnacentral:tRNA from 1 species